CCUACGGGUGGCAGCAGUGAGGAAUAUUGGUCAAUGGGCGUAAGCCUGAACCAGCCAAGUCGCGUGAAGGAAGAAGGAUCUAUGGUUUGUAAACUUCUUUUAUAGGGGAAUAAAGUUAGCAACGUGUGGCUAUUUGUAUGUACCCUAUGAAUAAGCAUCGGCUAACUCCGUGCCAGCAGCCGCGGUAAUACGGAGGAUGCGAGCGUUAUCCGGAUUUAUUGGGUUUAAAGGGUGCGUAGGUUGUUUUUUAAGUCAGCGGUGAAAGUUUGUGGCUCAACCAUAAAAUUGCCGUUGAAACUGGACGACUUGAGUGUGUUUGAGGUAGGCGGAAUGCGUGGUGUAGCGGUGAAAUGCAUAGAUAUCACGCAGAACUCCGAUUGCGAAGGCAGCUUACUAAGCCAUAACUGACACUGAAGCACGAAAGCGUGGGGAUCAAACAGGAUUAGAUACCCUGGUAGUC
rnacentral:rRNA from 1 species